GCGGCGGCGGGGAGCGCUCGGCGCCCAUUCAUGAUCGAAGGGCCCGGGAAAGCGGAACCGGUGCCCGGGCGAAAGGCGCCGGUGCCGCCGUUAUGGAGACGUCGGGGCAUCUCCACGAUUCGGGCGUGGGGGACCUGGAGGAGGACGGUCGGUGUCCCUGCCCCUUGGCGGGGGAUGAACGGGCACCGGUGCCGCCGCCGCCGCCGCCGCCGCCUCCCGCCGCGCUGCCGCCGCUCCAGCACAGCCUGUUGCACUCCUCGCCCGGGUCGUUACGGGCCCCUCCUCCUCCUCCCGCCGCCCCCGCCGCCCUCCACCCUUCCUCCCGCCACGGCAGCCAGCUCAACCUCGGCGACCACCCGGCGGGCUCCGGGGCGGGGAGCGGCAAACACCGGCAGCCCAGUCCCUUGGUUCACCGGCGGGACAGCAACCCCUUCACCGAGAUCGCCAUGAGCUCCUGCAAGUACAGCGGGGGGGUGAUGAAACCCCUCAGCCGCCUCAGCGCAUCCCGCCGGAACCUCAUCGAGGCCGAACCGGAGGCUCAACCUUUACAGCUCUUCGGGGCCGGCGGACCCCCCGAGAUCGUCGUCUCGCGCGAGGACAACCACGCGCCUGCCGCCCGUCGCCCCGACCGGCCCCCUGCCCGCCCGGCCCCCGCCGCCUUCGCCAAGGGGCCCAAGCGGAAGGCGCAAAACAUCGGCUACCGGCUGGGGCACCGCCGGGCGCUCUUCGAAAAGAGGAAGCGCCUCAGCGACUACGCGCUCAUCUUCGGCAUGUUCGGCAUCGUCGUCAUGGUCAUCGAGACCGAGCUCUCCUGGGGGCUCUACUCCAAGGACUCCAUGUUCUCCCUGGCCCUGAAAUGCCUUAUCAGCCUCUCCACCGUCAUCCUGCUGGGCCUCAUCAUCGCCUACCACACGCGGGAGGUGCAGCUCUUUGUGAUCGACAACGGAGCCGACGACUGGCGGAUAGCGAUGACGUACGAGCGCAUCCUCUACAUCGGCCUGGAGAUGCUGGUUUGUGCCAUACACCCCAUUCCCGGGGAGUACAAAUUUUUCUGGACAGCCCGCCUGGCUUUUUCCUACACGCCGUCUCGGGCAGAGGCAGACGUGGACAUCAUCCUGUCCAUCCCCAUGUUCCUGCGCCUCUACCUGAUCGCUCGGGUGAUGCUGCUGCACAGCAAGCUCUUCACCGACGCCUCCUCGCGCAGCAUCGGGGCGCUCAACAAGAUCAACUUCAACACCCGCUUCGUCAUGAAGACUCUCAUGACCAUCUGCCCCGGGACGGUGCUGCUGGUCUUCAGCAUUUCCCUCUGGAUCAUCGCUGCAUGGACGGUCCGGGUGUGCGAGAGGUACCACGAUCAGCAGGACGUAACCAGCAACUUCCUGGGGGCCAUGUGGCUCAUCUCCAUCACCUUCCUCUCCAUCGGCUACGGCGACAUGGUCCCGCACACCUACUGCGGGAAGGGCGUCUGCCUGCUCACCGGCAUCAUGGGCGCCGGCUGCACAGCGCUGGUGGUGGCCGUGGUGGCCAGGAAGCUGGAGCUCACCAAAGCCGAGAAGCACGUCCACAACUUCAUGAUGGACACGCAGCUGACAAAGCGGAUCAAGAACGCUGCAGCCAACGUCCUGCGGGAAACGUGGCUCAUCUAUAAGCACACCAAGCUGCUGAAGAAGAUCGACCACGCCAAAGUCAGGAAGCAUCAGAGGAAGUUCCUCCAAGCCAUUCACCAGUUGCGGAGCGUGAAGAUGGAGCAGAGGAAGCUGAGCGAUCAAGCCAACACCCUGGUCGACCUCUCGAAGAUGCAGAACGUGAUGUACGACCUCAUCACCGAGCUCAACGACCGCAGCGAGGACCUGGAGAAGCAGAUCGGCAGCCUGGAGUCCAAGCUGGAGCAGCUCAGCGCCAGCUUCAACUCCCUGCCCCUGCUGAUGGCCGACAUGCUGCGCCAGCAGCAGCAGCGCCUGCUCGCCGCCGUCCUGGAGGCGCGGGGGGUCGGCGUGCCGGUGGGCACCCCCCAAACGCCGCUCUCCGAGAGCCCCAUCGGGGUCAGCUCCACCUCCUUCCCCACCCCUUACACGAGCUCAAGCAGCUGCUAAAACGCAGCCCCCCCCGGCCCCCCGCCACCGCCACCACCACCACCCCCCUCCACGGACAGGGGAAGCGUUUCCGCGCAGGUCCCGAGGUCUCCAUGGACUUUCUUCUGGUCCUCGAACCGCCGCAGGACCCUUCGGCCGGAGCCGGUGGGACCAGCAGUGCCGAGCGCCGCUCGGAGCUUUGCCAACGCCUUGGUAUCGGGAAUCGCAUCCCCGUUCAGGUGCCUCUACACGUGGUGAAGGAAGGGGACGGGAGGCGACGCCUCGGGCGAGCCCGCGCCGCGGCGUCCGGUGGCGGACGGAAAAACCCACGCUCAAUCUCAGGUCUUCACAUUUGAAAACAAAACGAAACGACGACGAGUCAGAAGCACUGAAGCGACGGAGACACCAGAGGGAGAGUUUUCCUCCCCUGCGUGGACCCCGCCGGGGGCCGGGGCGCUCCCCUCGCCCCCCCGCCCCUCUCACCAUCGCAAAGCGCCGCCGGGCAGAUGCCAACGUGGUGGUUUCUUGCACGGGCUCCGACCAACGCUGCCCACGCUCCAUCCCGUCUCCUUACCGGGACCCACAUGAACCCCCCGCCCCGGCCCCGCGCAUUGCCGGGCGGGUGACAGUGUCUGGCCAUAACCUGCCCGGGGUGGGGGCGGUUCUCCGGAGCCGUGAGUGUUUUCUGCCUGGGCAGAACAAGGGACGCUUCUUCUUUCUGGUCCUCGGCGUCGUAUUCUGCCUGGAGACACGUGCCGGAGCCAGGAAAGCAGUGCCUAAAGCGUGCGGGGAUGCAGGGCCGAUGCGGCGACGGCCGAUGACGGGGCUGGCAGGCCAGCCCGGGCGCCGGGGGGGGGAAUCUCCAGGUGCUCACACACCGCCGCCCGCCCAGGAACCCCCCACCCAGCAUUUCGGGAAGCCAACGGGCUCUUUGCGGCAGAAAAACCCCAUGGGCGCCAUCCACCUCCGUUCGCACCGGGAACGGUCGCGCUGGAGCCCGGCCAGCAGCGCCGAAUCCGCCGGGGUGGAGCAGGGGCUCGCUGGCAAGUGCUGUAGUAGCGGGGGCAGGCGCUUCAUCUGUUUAAAACCCGGCCCAUCGCCUUCGUGCCGCUUCUGCUGGCUUUGGUGGGGAUCAGCAGCACCAUCCGGCAACGGCGCGGCGCUCGGCGUCGGCCACCGCCUGUGCCCGCCAAAGCGUAGCCCCUCAUGCUUUGGUUUUUGGUUGUUGUUUUUUUUUUUUUUUCUGGCAUUCAGCUUCCCGAGGUACCCUUGGCAUCCCCGGGCUACUUCUGGAACCAUUCAUUUUCUGUUCUACUUUCACCGUUUUCCCUUUUUUCCUCCCCAGUUCUGCCCCCGGGGUCGUGUUCGGGCUCCGGCUUUGGGGCUGGUGUUUGCUGCUUUCAACGAAAACUCAGCAGAGGCUAUUUAUAUAUUUUUUAAACAGAUGAAGCAACCAUGUAAUUACUCCGCGAUAUUAAUUACACCUCACCCAGCAGUGUCAGUAAUUGUAAUCAAAGUCACUGUGUUACUCCAGGUAUACUCAGCCUGUAAUCUUCUCCUUUGUAACUCCUUCCCUUCCCUGGAUAACGCUGGAUUUCGCGCGCACGUAGGCAGGGACGCAUCAGCCCGAUGCCGAGGAAUUUCCGUGCAAAACUCCACUUGCUGCCGGUGGAGAAGCUUCUGCCCAGCUCUGCAAGAAGGUUUCCGGUGCGGCAAUGGAGAGAAAACGUUGCAAAUUCUGAGAAGGAGCCUGAAAACGCAGCAUCUCCCCUGGCCUGCGGGCAGCCAGCAGAGAAAAACGCUCCCGCGCCUCUCCCGGGGUUCGGGCAGGAACGGGGUGGAGGUGCGGAGACGUAUCCUCGCGCGUCAGAGAGCCGGAGGAAGUCUUGACACUCCAGAAUCGAUAUUGCCGGCGGGAACCUUCUUAGGGGCUAACGAUCAAGUCUGGGAAAUCAAACGGAGUUAGACAAGACCCGGCACCGUCGGCUCGCCGGGACCCGAGGGGCUGAAGGGGAGCGAAGCGGCGGGAGCUGCAGGAUGGCGACUGCUGCAAGAGAUCCUUGUCCGGGGGGCAGAGCCGCUGCUUCGGCGGGAUGUCACCGGGGCGGUGACAUCUCUGCACCUCGCACCCUGCGCCCCCGCCCUCCUCCCUGCACCCCAGACACCCCCCUCUGCCUGAGGCCUCGCAGCCCUGCGUCUGCACCCUGCGCCUUGCAGCCUGCAUCCCGCGCACCCCUGCCACCCCCGUCCCACACCCUGCAUCCCUGGACCCCCAUCCCGCACACCCCCGUCCCACACCCUGCAUCCCGCGCACCCCUCAUUCCACACCCUGCACCCCCACCCUGCACCCCCAUCCCACACCCUGCA